UACGGGGGGGGCAAGCGUUGUUCGGAAUUACUGGGCGUAAAGGGCUCGUAGGCGGCCAACUAAGUCAGACGUGAAAUCCCUCGGCUUAACCGGGGAACUGCGUCUGAUACUGGAUGGCUCGAGUUUGGGAGAGGGAUGCGGAAUUCCAGGUGUAGCGGUGAAAUGCGUAGAUAUCUGGAGGAACACCGGUGGCGAAGGCGGCAUCCUGGACCAACGCUGACGCUGAUGAGCGAAAGCCAGGGGAGCAAACGGG
rnacentral:rRNA from 1 species